rnacentral:rRNA from 1 species
GAUGAACGCUGGCGGCGUGCCUAAUACAUGCAAGUCGAGCGAACAGACGAGGCGCUUGCUCCUCUGACGUUAGCGGCGGACGGGUGAGUAACACGUGGAUAACCUACCUAUAAGACUGGGAUAACUUCGGGAAACCGGAGCUAAUACCGGAUAAUAUAUUGAACCGCAUGGUUCAAUAGUGAAAGACGGUUUUGCUGUCACUUAUAGAUGGAUCCGCGCCGCAUUAGCUAGUUGGUAAGGUAACGGCUUACCAAGGCAACGAUGCGUAGCCGAACUGAGAGGGUGAUAGGCCACACUGGAACUGAGACACGGUCAAGACUCCUACGGGAGGCAGCAGUAGGGAAUCUUACGCAAUGGGCGAAAGCAUGACGGAGCAACGCCGCGUGAGUGAUGAAGGUCUUCGGAGCGUAAAACUCUGUUAUGAGGGAAGAACAAAUGUGUAAGUAAAUAUGCACGUCUUGACGGUACCUAAUCAGAAAGCAACGGCUAACUACGUG